CGUCCUCUCUCUCCUCUCAUUUUCUUUCUCUCCUCUCCUGCUCCCCCACCCCGCCGCCACCACCACGCACCAGCCGCUCCUCCUCACCAUGGCGGCAUUAUCCUUGGCGCCACCAGAGAUGGGAUCCUCCAUGCACGCCUUGCCGGGGACAAGGUUCUCCGCUCGCGCCGCCGAGGACGGGGUCCUUCGCUCGCGCGCCACCGCUGGGGACGAGGUCCUCCGCUCACGUAUGUCGGAAGCGCUCCCAUCGCCACUACCGGGGACGGGGUCCUCCGUGCACUACAUGUUUGGGCCACGACAGCCACGAGAUUUGCUGCGGGCAGGCCACAACAGCUAAGAUCUAUGGUGAUGCUAAGAUACUCAGUGCGCGGGUCAUGCCUCAGCAGCGAGAAGGCAAAGGGCCCAGCCCCUACACGGAGAAGGUGGCGAAGGAGGAGGAUCCCGCGUGGCCGCGCCUCUCCCUGGUCCACAACCUCACGCGGGUGGUGGCACGUCUCCGCUCAUCCACUCCACCAGUCUUCUCUACCCCUCAUCGUCUCCUCUACCCAGGUAGUUUCACUGCAAAAACAACCCCUACGGUCCGCAGGAAUCAAACCCAAGACCUCCUGCCUCGCAUAUAGUUUCCUUACCAUUCCACCUACACAGCACAUGUGACUCUAGACAUGAUGCUUUUAUUUUAAACUGACCCGUGAAGAACUCUUUAGUCAUUAGUCCCGGUUGGUGGCUCCAACCAGGACUAACGAUCCCAACCCCCUAGCCGUUGGACACGAAACUAAUGCUUUCAUUAGUCCUAGGCACAAUGCCAACAGGAACAAAUGACAAAAAUGAAUGACCAUCUCUGUACUAGUGUUUCUUCUCUCCCUUUUGUCUUCGAGCCUGCCCCUCUACUGCUUGAGCCUCCCCUCUGCAGCUUGUGCAUCUUCUGCUCUACGUACUGCUCAUGCAAAACUCUGCUAACCUGAUUGGUAAUGGGGACAAUAUGUUGAAAACAACUCUAGCGUGGUAUGAGUUUGAAAAGUUUGUUCUAAUUAAACAUAUAGUACUAAUCUAUCAUUUGCUUUGCUAUGAUGCGUUUUCAUGCUUGCAAGACAAUUGCAAAGCUCAGGCAGGAUAUCGUUUGUGAUGAAUGUAUUAUGCUCGGACAUGGGUAUUUCAGAGUAGUACUGGAAGUUCUAAAGCUAGCAGCACCAAAUGGCAAGCUCUUCCAGGUGCUAUGCACAGAUAAUGCACCAACAAAUGAUAGAUUAUGUGAUUACUUGCUGGAAGGUAUGUUUGAGGCCAUCUCAAUUCAGGCAUCGGCUUAGGCUGUGGUGCUCUUUGCAGGGAUGGUUAUGGGACAUAUCUUGGCUUCUGGACUUCUGGAUCAAACUAUCAGAUGAUCCAGUAGAUAGUAUUCACUAACAUGGCUCAAAGUGAAAAUUCAAGGUUUAGUUCUUGUAGAAUGCCAUUAGAUUCAACUUAUGUACUAAUUCAGAUCAGUGGCAUUAGGAACUGCUGAAAAUAAGAUAGCAGAUUAGAGGAGGCAUUGUGAUGUAUGUAUGAGCACAAAUGUAUGAACAGAUGUAUGUUUCUGUGAUCAGAGGAGGCACUAUGAUGUAUAUAUGGCCUAUUUUUUUA